GACGAAUAGGACAAGUGUUAUUCUUCGUGAUUGGGCGUAAAGGGCUCGUAGGCGGUUUGUCGCGUCGGGAGUGAAAACCCAGGGCUUAACCCUGGGCUGGCUUCCGAUACGGGCAGACUAGAGGUAUGCAGGGGAGAACGGAAUUCCUGGUGUAGCGGUGAAAUGCGCAGAUAUCAGGAGGAACACCGGUGGCGAAGGCGGUUCUCUGGGCAUUACCUGACGCUGAGGAGCGAAAGUGUGGGGAGCGAACAGG
rnacentral:rRNA from 1 species